rnacentral:sRNA from 1 species
AUUCUGCCCAUGCGGGGAAGGAUGAGAAGCUUCGACCAAGGUUCGACUCGAGCGCCAGCGGGAGAGCGUUGCCGCAGGCAACGACCCGAAGGGCGAAGCGCGCAGCGCUGAGUAAUCCUUCCCCCACCACCA